GUGCCAGCCGCCGCGGUAAUACCGGCAGCCCAAGUGAUGGCCGCUGUUAUUGGGCCUAAAGCGUCCGUAGCUGGCCGCACAAGUCCGUCGGGAAAUCCACGUGCUUAACACGUGGGCGACCGGCGGAAACUGUGUGGCUUGGAACCGGAAGGCUCAGAGGGUACGUCCGGGGUAGGAGUGAAAUCCCGUAAUCCCGGACGGACCACCGAUGGCGAAAGCACUCUGAGAAGACGGCUUCGACAGUGAGGGACGAAAGCUAGGGUCUCAAACCGGAUUAGAAACCCGGGUAGUCC
rnacentral:rRNA from 1 species